GUUCACGCCCAUGGCCAGGUUGCGGUCGCAGCGGUAGGUGUCGAAGCCCUCAGACCGCAGGGUGAGCUGCACCAAAGAGACGUGGGACGAGUCCAUGCUCUGCAGGUUUACACCGCUGGAGCUAAUAUCCCAGCAGGCCUCGUUGAUGAGGUCCUUGAGUGCCUCCAACACCUUCUUGAGGAUGGAGCCCUGGACCAGGCGCGCCUCGAACAUGGUGGCGGAGUGGCAACAACGCCGCUACAGGCAGGCGGGAAGGAGGAAAGUCUAGCUGGUUUCGGCUUCAGGAGCCUCAGAGCGAGCGGGCGAACGUCGCGACGACCGGCUGAGACCUAGAAAGACAACGACCACUCUGCUACGCCUGCAACCGUUUAAUGCCGCCGCGUC